rnacentral:RNase_P_RNA from 1 species
CCGGUGAUUUGAAUCGUCGCGCCCGUAAAGCCAACGCGUUGCGGGUGAGGAAAGUCCGGGCUCCAUAGGGUAAGCGCGCCGGGUAAUCCCCGGUGAAGGCAACUUCAAGGAAAGUGCAACAGAAAAGAACCGCCGCUUAGCGGUAAGGAUGAAAAGGUGCGGUAAGAGCGCACCGGGAGACAGGCGACUGUCUCCGCCCGUGUAAACCCCGCGCGGAGCAACACCGUGGUCGACAAGAUAUUUGACCCGAAUGUCGAUGGAGGUGGCUAGAGCCGCGUCGCGAGACGCGCCCCAGAUAGAUGACGAUUCCAGACAGAACCCGGCUUACAGAAUCACCGGAGCC